GGGCCCGACUGUAGCCCUGGCGUUUGCCCUCAGCCCCGCCGGGCCCCUCCAGCUCCAGGCCAGACCCUAGUAACACCUCGGGCUGCCCGGCACCACAGGCAAUUUCCUGGAGCCCCCGCCCAGGAGCCGGGGCCACCGCACCUUGAAAGGGACGGCCAGGGCUUCCUCCUGGGGCUUGAAAGCCCGAGCUAAUCAGUAACCCGAGAGACAGGGGCCAAUAUUCAAACGAGGCGGCCGCGGCGCGGACCCCCGCCCUCGCCACCCCUUCUGGGAAGGCGGGUGUGAGGGGUCCGGCAGGAACGAAAAUCUUCAUGGUUUGGUUCCUCGGUGAUUGAUCUGUACCCCCAAUUUCCCCCCCAAAGCAUCUUUGUCGAUUAUUUCGCUUGAAACGAUUGAGAAUAAGGGAGGGGGCCCCCACUCACUUGCAGACACCGACCGUUUCCAGAAAAUUUGGCUCAAUUCCUUCAUCACCGAUUCGCCAGCCAAGGAGCUGGCAAGACCCACCCGCCAACCGGGAGAACACAGACCCGGUUGUCUUUUGACAACCGAGUGGAACUGCCGGGCCGGCGCCACCUCUUCGGCCCCUCCCUUGGCCAAAAAGAAAACCAAAUAAACCUGGAACAGCCUUGGCCUCGGAUCUCCCGAGAGGCCCGGAGGAUCCCCGCUAGCGCCCGCGGUGGGUGGGUGGGGGGCUCCCCGGUUCAGGGCCCCCCGCCCGCGGAAGGCGGCAUCAGUCCCUUUAAAUAUGCCCUAGAAAACGCCGCUUCUCCCGCCAGCCGCAAGGUUCGGAGCCAGGAUGGGGCGGGCGAGGGGGAGGGGACACUAGUUCUCUAGUCCACACUCGGGCGGGGGGAACCUGGACCCGACGGGAAGCGACAAUCUGGGCCCGAAGUCCCCGAAUCCCGCCAAACCUCAGCGCCCGGGCUCCAGGCGUCGGGCACGAUACAGGCAGCAUCGCGGGGCUCGCGGCGCCGAAGCCGCAUGUCUCCGAACGGACGGUAGAUGGCAGCAAACCGCAUAAUUUGGAUCACAGCAAACUAAGGGAUGAUUUAUACCCCGCCGAGACUACAGGAGAAAAAGACCUUCGGUCCGGGUGGGUUUGGGGGGUUUUCCCUUUGAGAAUAGGCUCCAAGUGCCGUGGGUGGUAGCCGAGACCUUCUCUGGCUAUGCGCAGCGCGGGGUCCCCCCAGACCCCCAAUCCCGGCCUGCUGGGAGGGCAUCCACCUGGGCCUCCAGGGACCCCUCCCGCGCCACAAGUGGCUGAGUCCCUCUCUGCCAGCUCGGGACCCAGAGGGCCAGUAUCCCCGGACACAACCUCCUUAGGCAACCAGGGUCCUGAGGCUCCGCGCUCGGCCUCUGGUCUUUAAGAAGAGAGAAGCAACCACCUAAUCGUGCAAACCAAACCGAACCAAUCUCUCCAGAGUCGCUGAUCUCCUGGCUUGCAGCUUCCUCAAAAGCCCUCUCGCUCUAUUUUAAGUCCACACCCAGAGACUUGCACCGUCUUCCACCCCCACCAGCUACUUUAGGAAUUUCCGUCUCCAGCCCAAAGCUUCCCCCCAGAAGGCCUGGCUGGGGAAUAAAAUCUGGCGCCUGAGGGACAGGACUAGCUGUCUGAGCUCAGCGCCAGGCAGCUCUCUAGUCCGGACACCAUUAGGCCCCCUAAUUGGGUUUUCUUUUUAUUUUCUUCUCCUUUUUUUUUUUUUUUAAUUUACAAGCCUUAAACAACAACACACCGUCUUCACACUCACCAGGUUUAGAUCCAGGAAAGUUUGAAAUGUUUCAACAUCAGUUAUGCAAAUGGCAAUUUUCUCCUCCACCGAAACCCACACCCCCCAAACCAACAAAACACAAGUAAUAGCAUCAGCGUCGCACAGAAACCAGCACAUUGUAACCUACCGCGUUCAACACCACAACAUGGUCUCCCUGCAGAGCCAGGCUCCCUCCUUCGGGAGUGGCCAGAGACCUGGGCAUUCUCAGGCAGGCUGGGGGGAGGGGAGUACCUCCAUUUAGGUGCCUCCACUUACAGCCCUUUAAUUUCAGAAAUGUUUCCAAAGCGAGAGAAUGAGCGUGUUUCUCCAUAAAUUGUUCUUUCUGUCUCUCUCUAGCCGCCUCCUUGCCCGCCACGGCCUCUGCGGAGAUUCCAGGCCCUCCAGAGACCAGGACAUCCCUCCGAGCCACCGCCCCUCAUGCCAAUGCUGCCGGGAAACUGCCGACACCCGAACCGGACAAGAGAACAGCGAAGCAGCCACCCCUCUCUCUACCGCCGAAUUUCCUGGGAAGCCUCUCCCUGCAGCACCCAGAGGUGGGGUUCAGCCCCAUCUUGGACAGGGGAGGGGGGAGACAAACCCAAGCCCCACCUACAAAAUCGAGGCAAAAGAAUAAGAAGAAAAUUGUAGAAUCUCCCUUACCUUUGCAGACCUUGAGGUUUCUGUCCUCCGAUUGAAAGGGGUGGGGAGGAAGGAGGGGGAAAAAAAGAGCGUUCGGUUUCCUCUUCAUCUUCCAGAUAAUAUUGUCCCAACCUGAGAGCCGUCGCUUCCCCUUCUCUGACUUGGGAGAGAGGGUGUUUCGUUUUUUCUGAUAUUUGCAUAGAAAAUGGAGUAAGUUCUGGCUUUGAAAAAUG